CGUCUAUAGACCUGAAAAGUGUCCCCUAUAUGAUAUCUUUGUUGGAGAAAUAUCUUUAGGCACCGCAUAUAGUUGUAUGUGCAAUAUAAAAGGAGGAUAAACCAACAGGGUGGCACGCAGAAAUUCUUUUGCACAUUCACAAGAUGCAGAUGAGAAGUGCCACCCUAUGCUUCCUCAUCAUACUUGUGUUACUUGGAAGUUCUACUCACGCAGAGAACUGCAACACUCACGAGAUUACACUUGAUGCAUGCGUGAAGCCAAUUUGUAAGUUGGCAUGUCUUGCUUCCUACGGGAAGCAUUUGAGGGAGUAUGGUUGCACAGGCAGCCCACCAGUUAUUUGUGUUUGCUAUGUAUGCCAUGAUUAGACUAUGUAAGAUGAAUGUGCUGAGGAUCAUCAGAUAUGCUACAUAAUAAAAUGAGGAUCCUAGAAAUGA